AGGGUUUGAUUCUGGCUCAGGAUGAACGCUGGCGGCGUGCUUAACACAUGCAAGUCGAACGAAGCACUUUAACCUGAUUCUUCGGAUGAAGGUUUUUGUGACUGAGUGGCGGACGGGUGAGUAACGCGUGGGUAACCUGCCUCAUACAGGGGGAUAACAGUUAGAAAUGACUGCUAAUACCGCAUAAGACCACGGAGCCGCAUGGCUCAGUGGGAAAAACUCCGGUGGUAUGAGAUGGACCCGCGUCUGAUUAGGUAGUUGGUGGGGUAACGGCCUACCAAGCCAACGAUCAGUAGCCGACCUGAGAGGGUGACCGGCCACAUUGGGACUGAGACACGGCCCAA
rnacentral:rRNA from 1 species